AUACAUGCAAGUCGAGCGGACAGAAGGGAGCUUGCUCCCGGAUGUUAGCGGCGGACGGGUGAGUAACACGUGGGUAACCUGCCUGUAAGACUGGGAUAACUCCGGGAAACCGGAGCUAAUACCGGAUAGUUCCUUGAACCGCAUGGUUCAAGGAUGAAAGACGGUUUCGGCUGUCACUUACAGAUGGACCCGCGGCGCAUUAGCUAGUUGGUGGGGUAAUGGCUCACCAAGGCGACGAUGCGUAGCCGACCUGAGAGGGUGAUCGGCCACACUGGGACUGAGACACGGCCCAGACUCCUACGGGAGGCAGCAGUAGGGAAUCUUCCGCAAUGGACGAAAGUCUGACGGAGCAACGCCGCGUGAGUGAUGAAGGUUUUCGGAUCGUAAAGCUCUGUUGUUAGGGAAGAACAAGUGCGAGAGUAACUGCUCGCACCUUGACGGUACCUAACCAGAAAGCCACGGCUAACUACGUGCCAGCAGCCGCGGUAAUACGUAGGUGGCAAGCGUUGUCCGGAAUUAUUGGGCGUAAAGGGCUCGCAGGCGGUUUCUUAAGUCUGAUGUGAAAGCCCCCGGCUCAACCGGGGAGGGUCAUUGGAAACUGGGAAACUUGAGUGCAGAAGAGGAGAGUGGAAUUCCACGUGUAGCGGUGAAAUGCGUAGAGAUGUGGAGGAACACCAGUGGCGAAGGCGACUCUCUGGUCUGUAACUGACGCUGAGGAGCGAAAGCGUGGGGAGCGAACAGGA
rnacentral:rRNA from 1 species